rnacentral:rRNA from 1 species
UACGAAGGGGGCUAGCGUUGCUCGGAAUCACUGGGUGUAAAGCGCACGUAGGCGGAUUGUUAAGUCAGGGGUGAAAUCCUGGAGCUCAACUCCAGAACUGCCUUUGAUACUGGCAAUCUCGAGUCCGGGAGAGGUGAGUGGAACUGCGAGUGUAGAGGUGAAAUUCGUAGAUAUUCGCAAGAACACCAGUGGCGAAGGCGGCUCACUGGCCCGGUACUGACGCUGAGGUGCGAAAGCGUGGGGAGCAAACAGGG